UACGAAGGGUGCAAGCGUUAAUCGGAAUUACUGGGCGUAAAGCGUGCGUAGGCGGUUUCUUAAGUCUGCUGUGAAAUCCCCGGGCUCAACCUGGGAAUGGCAGUGGAUACUGGGAGGCUAGAGUGUGAUAGAGGAUGGUGGAAUUCCCGGUGUAGCGGUGAAAUGCGUAGAGAUCGGGAGGAACAUCAGUGGCGAAGGCGGCCAUCUGGAUCAAGAUUGACGCUCAUGCACGAAAGCGUGGGGAGCAAACAGG
rnacentral:rRNA from 1 species